CUUGCUGAUACGGAGCGUGCAUCUUCAAUUCAUCCCCCCAGUGGCCUGCACCCCAGUGGCACCACGUAAAACCACCGUGAUUUUCUCCCUCCUGACUCCGAGCUACCAGCUGCUUGCAGUGACGGCUGCAUCCAGAAUUAUCAGAGAGUUCGCUCAGAGCGACUGCUACAUCCAGGAUUAUCUCAGAGCUGCAAGCUGGCCUGCUCGGUCCACAAG